UCCUUGUUGGCCAUGAGCGGG
rnacentral:miRNA from 1 species